CAGGUAACAAGCUCACCUGUCCACAAUCAUCUCAUCGGCCUGAAGAAGCCUUGAAGCAGAUCUCAGAGUGUUUGCUGAGACAGAAUCCCAUGGAGGAAAGGAUUUAUGGACCUGCCUGUUUUCUGACCUUGCAUUUCACUAACCAAAAACAUUUUGCAAAUCAUUCUUUUAAAUAAACCUGUGACCCUUCUGAGCCUUCAUUACAACACUAAACAACAUGAAUGCAUUGUUCCAUCCUGCCUUCAAUGAACAUUUCAUGCUGCUGCUGGUGAAAUGGUGUUUUCUUUGCACAUUAUUAAACACCACAGCCUACCUGAGUAUUGUUGCUGACCACGUCCAUCCCUUUCUGACCAUGGGCUACCCAUCUUCCAGUAAUUUUAAUGGGAGAUUCACAUCUUGGAGGCACAGCUGGCAAAUCUGCAGCAACUGUGUGACAUCAUCGUAUCAAUAUGGACCGAAAUCUCUGAGAAAUGUUUCCAGCAGUUUGUUGACACCCUCAUGCAGUCACUUUUCCUUAAAGGCAGCGGUUCUAAAUCAUCAUCCUACACAGUUUUUAUUUAGUACCCUUGCUGACACAUGUUAACAAGUAUUCAAAUGAAGAUGUAAACAGUCAGCAGUAGAGACAUGUAAGUGCAAUAUUAGGGGAAACUACCACAACUGCAGUGUAAAGCUUGAAUUAAGAGUUUAAUGCUUAAUUCUAUUGACGACUCAUAUU